UACGGAGGAUGCAAGCGUUAUCCGGAAUGAUUGGGCGUAAAGCGUCCGCAGGUGGCUGUGUAAGUCUGCUGUUAAAGAGUGAGGCUCAACCUCAUAAAGGCAGUGGAAACUACUUGGCUAGAGUGCGUUCGGGGCAGAGGGAAUUCCUGGUGUAGCGGUGAAAUGCGUAGAGAUCAGGAAGAACACCGGUGGCGAAGGCGCUCUGCUAGGCCGCAACUGACACUGAGGGACGAAAGCUAGGGGAGCGAAUGGG
rnacentral:rRNA from 1 species